rnacentral:rRNA from 1 species
GACGAACGCUGGCGGCGUGCUUAACACAUGCAAGUCGAACGGAAAGGCCCUGCUUUUGUGGGGUGCUCGAGUGGCGAACGGGUGAGUAACACGUGAGUAACCUGCCCUUGACUUUGGGAUAACUUCAGGAAACUGGGGCUAAUACCGGAUAGGAGCUCCUGCUGCAUGGUGGGGGUUGGAAAGUUUCGGCGGUUGGGGAUGGACUCGCGGCUUAUCAGCUUGUUGGUGGGGUAGUGGCUUACCAAGGCUUUGACGGGUAGCUGGCCUGAGAGGGUGACCGGCGAGAGUGGGAUGGAGACACGGGCGGCUGGGCGACGGGCGGCAGCGGUGGGGAAUGUGCGACGGUGGGGCGCGGCGUGACGGCGCCGCGGGGGGGGGGGGGUGGGCGUUUGCGGGGUGUAACCCGUUGGCGCCGGUGGCGAGGGGGGAGGGAUUGUGAGGGGAAAAGACGCCGCGGCGAACCGCGUGACAGCAGGCCGGAAAGAGGGAAGAGCACACGUCCGCCC